GAAUAGGACCAUGGACUUCACGGUUUGUGGUGGAAAGCUUUUGCGGUGUGGGAUGGGCCCGCGGCCUAUCAGCUUGUUGGUGGGGUAAUGGCCUACCAAGGCGACGACGGGUAGCCGGCCUGAGAGGGUGACCGGCCACACUGGGACUGAGAUGCGGCCCAGACUCCUACGGGAGGCAGCAGUGGGGAAUAUUGCACAAUGGGCGCAAGCCUGAUGCAGCGACGCCGCGUGAGGGAUGACGGCCUUCGGGUUGUAAACCUCUUUCAGCACAGACGAAGCGCAAGUGACGGUAUGUGCAGAAGAAGGACCGGCCAACUACGUG
rnacentral:rRNA from 1 species